GUGAAAGAUGAGCCCUUGAGGCACAUUCCCUAGUAGAUUUAAAUGACAAAUCUAGAAAGAAGCGGUUUAAAUAUUUAUGAAGAGGCGGAGAGGUGUAGAGUGUCUUCCGGAAACGCUUCUGAUUGGCUGGUGUUUUCAAGCAAGUGUUAGCUUUAUGAAAUGACUGCCACAGCCGACUGACAGGCUCCCGGCGGCCUGAGGAGUAGUAUGCAAAUUUUGGAUGAUUGACACCUACAGUAGAAGCCAAUCACGUCAAAGUAGGAUGCUGAUUGGUUGACAACAAUAGGCGUAAACCUUGACGUUUUAAAAACCUGACACCCAAUCCAGGCGAUUCAUGCAAAUAAAGGAAGGGAGUCACAUUACCAGGGGCCAGAGAGACUUGAGUACGACCUCACGUGUUCAGUGGUGGAUAUUGCACAGACGUCUGCAAGGUCUAUAUAAACGCUACAUAAUGUUCAACUCAAUUGCUUGCCUUGGCCUUUCCCAAACUUGUCAC
rnacentral:lncRNA from 1 species